UGGAAAACCAAUACAUUUCAGGUAGUUUCCUUGAAAAGUCUUAGUGUAAGAUCUGGAAUACAUGCGUCACGCAGUUGAAGUUGUGCCAGGUUGCAGAUAACUUCAUAAAAGCUGGUGGCUUAUUUGUGGUGGUGGAGGUGCAGGUUUUGGA